rnacentral:rRNA from 1 species
AUUGAACGCUGGCGGCAUGCUUUACACAUGCAAGUCGAACGGUAACAGGCCUUCGGGCGCUGACGAGUGGCGAACGGGUGAGUAAUGCAUCGGAACGUGCCCAGUCGUGGGGGAUAACUAUCCGAAAGGAUAGCUAAUACCGCAUACGAUCUGCGGAUGAAAGCGGGGGACCUUCGGGCCUCGCGCGAUUGGAGCGGCCGAUGUCAGAUUAGGUAGUUGGUGGGGUAAAGGCUCACCAAGCCAACGAUCUGUAGCUGGUCUGAGAGGACGACCAGCCACACUGGGACUGAGACACGGCCCAGACUCCUACGGGAGGCAGCAGUGGGGAAUUUUGGACAAUGGGCGCAAGCCUGAUCCAGCAAUGCCGCGUGCAGGAAGAAGGCCUUCGGGUUGUAAACUGCUUUUGUCAGGGAAGAAAUCCUCUGGGUUAAUACCCCGGGGGGAUGACGGUACCUGAAGAAUAAGCACCGGCUAACUACGUGCCAGCCGCCGCCGUAAAAC